UACGUAGGUGGCAAGCGUUGUCCGGAAUUAUUGGGCGUAAAGCGCGCGCAGGCGGUCCUUUAAGUCUGAUGUGAAAGCCCACGGCUCAACCGUGGAGGGUCAUUGGAAACUGGGGGACUUGAGUGCAGAAGAGGAAAGCGGAAUUCCACGUGUAGCGGUGAAAUGCGUUGAUCUACAGAGGAACACCAAAAAAGGCGAAGGCAGUCAACUAUUCUGUUCCUGACAUUGAGGCAUGAAAGCGUGGGGAGCAAACCGG
rnacentral:rRNA from 1 species